GAUGAAAAACGCAGUGAAAUGCGAUAAGUAGUGUGAAUUGCAGAAUUCAGUGAAUCAUCGAAUCCUUGAACGCACAUUGCGCCCCUUGGUAUUCCAUGGGGCAUGCCUGUUCGAGCGUCAUUUGUACCUUCAAGCUUUGCUUGGUGUUGGGUGUUUGUCCUGAGGGACUCGCCUUAAAGUAAUUGGCAGCCAGUGUUUGGUUUUGAAGCGCAGCACAAGUCGCGAUUCAAGGCUAUACACCAGCUUCCACAAGCCUUUUUCACUUUUGACCUCGGAUCAGGUAGGGAUACCCGCUGAACUUAAGCAUAUCAAUAAGCGGAGGA
rnacentral:misc_RNA from 1 species